rnacentral:rRNA from 1 species
UACAGAGGAGCCAAGCGUUGUCCGGAUUGACUGGCGUAAGAGCACGCAGGCGGACGCGCGCGUGGGGUGUGAAAUCUGGCCGCUUAACGGCCAGGCGCCAUCCCAUACGGCGGGUCUGGAGUGAUGCAGAGGGCGGUGGAAUUGCCGGUGUAGUGGUGAAAUGCGUAGAGAUCAGGAAGAACACCCGUGGCGAAGGCGGCUUUCUGGGACGGUACUGACGCUGAGACGCGAAAGCGUGGGGAGCGAACAGG